rnacentral:rRNA from 1 species
GAUGAACGCUGGCAGCGUGCCUAAUACAUGCAAGUCGAGCGAACAGACGAGGAGCUUGCUCCUCUGACGUUAGCGGCGGACGGGUGAGUAACACGUGGAUAACCUACCUAUAAGACUGGGAUAACUUCGGGAAACCGGAGCUAAUACCGGAUAAUAUAUUGAACCGCACGGUUCAAUAGUGAAAGACGGUUUUGCUGUCACUUAUAGAUGGAUCCGCGCCGCAUUAGCUAGUUGGUAAGGUAACGGCUUACCAAGGCAACGAUGCGUAGCCGACCUGAGAGGGUGAUCGGCCACACUGGAACUGAGACACGGUCCAGACUCCUACGGGAGGCAGCAGUAGGGAAUCUUCCGCAAAGGGCGAAAGCCUGACGGAGCAACGCCGCGUGAGUGAUGAAGGUCUUCGGAUCGUAAAACUCUGUUAUUAGGGAAGAACAAAUGUGUAAGUAACUAUGCACGUCUUGACGGUACCUAAUCAGAAAGCCACGGCUAACUACGUG